rnacentral:rRNA from 1 species
UCAAGUACCGUGAGGGAAAGUUGAAAAGCACUCUGAAGAGAGAGUCAAAAGACCGUGAAACCGUUCAGAGUAUAAGCCAAUGGAGCUUGGAAGGCUUCCGCAGCGGCGUGCAUCAUGCGUGGUGUAUCGAAUGAUCAGAGCGCGGUUCGUCAGGCGGAGCAUUGAGUUUGCCGCUUAGCUGUCGUACGGGGGGACGAGUCGGGGGUCUGAGGCUUCGGCCGAGGAGCUCUCGGCCGUCUUCUUAAGAAUGGACGUUCAGAGCUAUUGGUCUAAUGCGGAUAUGCCCACCACGGCACGUUGCGAGGUCACCCACAGGCUCAACUGCCGAUCGCGUAUCCAGGACGAUGGCAACGAUGCGUAGUUCUGCUCGGAAACGAGUUAUCACGCGUGUCUAGUCCUGGGUCGGGCGGCGACCGAGAUAAACCUGGUAUGAUCCUCUAGCGACGAGCUGCUUUCUGGCCAGACCGACGUCCGGGCGCUUCCACUGUGCCGGAAGUGUCAAUCCCAGGCGGUUUGUUCCCUGCUGCAUUCUGCAAGGUCUCUCAGCCGGGCGUUGGUCUGAGUGGUGUUAAGUCCAGCACCAUCGGUCACGUCUCGAAACACGGGCCAAGGAGUAUAGCAUGUGUGCAAGUCUAAGGGUCACAUAAAACCCGAAGGCGAAGUGAAAGCGAGACCGAGGCGGGGGAGCUUCGGCGAACCCGCCGGCCUUGAGGCGCGCGCGCCCUGCCUGCGUGCGUGCGCUCUUUUGAGUGCUAGCGUGCGGGUGGGUGUGUGUGCGCAGCCCGGCUUUUGUCAGAGCUGAUCCUGUUUUCACGGUAAAUUCUUGGUGCAGGCGCAAGCUCCGGGCUCACGCAUAACACUGGUCGCCUCGUGUGGCUGUGUUGUGAGCACCGUGGAGCAUGCAUGCUAUGACCCGAAAGAUAGUGAACUAUGCCUGGCGAGGGCGAAGCCCCAGGAAACUGGGGUGGAGGCCCGUAGCCGUUGUGACGUGCAAAUCCAUGGUAUCAGCUGGGCAUAGGGCGAAAGACCAAUCGA